UCCUGCCAGAGGUUACUGCUAUCGAGGUUCGACUAAGCCAUGCGAGUCGAAUGUAGCAAUACAUGGCGUACUGCUCAGUAACACGUGGACAACCUACCCUCCGGACGGGUAUAAACCCGGGAAACUGGGUAUAAUCCCCGAUAGAUCUCGGUCGCUGGAAAGCUCCGAGAUCGAAAGCUCCGGCGCCAGAGGAUGGGUCUGCGGCCUAUCAGGUAGUAGUGGGUGUAGCGUACCUACUAGCCUACGACGGGUACGGGUUGUGAGAGCAAGAGCCCGGAGAUGGAUUCUGAGACACGAAUCCAGGCCCUACGGGGUGCAGCAGGCGCGAAAACUUUACAAUGCCGGCAACGGCGAUAAGGGGACCUCGAGUGCCAGGUUACAAAUCUGGCUGUCGUGAUGCCUAAAAAGCAUUGCAUAGCAAGGGCCGGGCAAGACCGGUGCCAGCCGCCGCGGUAACACCGGCGGCUCGAGUGGUAACCGUUAUUAUUGGGUCUAAAGGGUCUGUAGCCGGCCGGAUAAGUCUCUUGAGAAA
rnacentral:rRNA from 1 species